UACGAAGGGGGCUAGCGUUGCUCGGAAUCACUGGGCGUAAAGCGCACGUAGGCGGACUCUUAAGUCAGGGGUGAAAUCCUGGAGCUCAACUCCAGAACUGCCUUUGAUACUGGGAGUCUUGAGUUCGGGAGAGGUGAGUGGAACUGCGAGUGUAGAGGUGAAAUUCGUAGAUAUUCGCAAGAACACCAGUGGCGAAGGCGGCUCACUGGCCCGAUACUGACGCUGAGGUGCGAAGCGUGGGGAGCAAACAGGG
rnacentral:rRNA from 1 species